rnacentral:rRNA from 1 species
GAUGAACGCUAGCUACAGGCUUAACACAUGCAAGUCGAGGGGAAACGACAUCGGAAGCUUGCUUUUGAUGGGCGUCGACCGGCGCACGGGUGAGUAACGCGUAUCCAACCUGCCCACCACUUGGGGAUAACCUUGCGAAAGUAAGACUAAUACCCAAUGACGUCUCUAGAAGACAUCUGAAAGAGAUUAAAGAUUUAUCGGUGAUGGAUGGGGAUGCGUCUGAUUAGCUUGUUGGCGGGGUAACGGCCCACCAAGGCGACGAUCGGUAGGGGUUCUGAGAGGAAGGUCCCCCCACAUUGGAACUGAGACACGGUUCCAAAACUCCUACGGGAGGCAGCAGUGAGGAAUAUUGGUCAAUGGACGCAAGUCUGAACCAGCCAAGUAGCGUGCAGGAUGACGGCCCUAUGGGUUGUAAAACUGCUUUUUAUGCGGGGAUAAAGUGUACCAUGUAUGGUNUUUUGCAGGUACCGCAUGAAUAAGGACCGGCUAAUUCCGUGCCAGCAGCCG